UACGAAGGGGGCUAGCGUUGCUCGGAAUCACUGGGCGUAAAGCGCACGUAGGCGGCUUUCUAAGUCAGGGGUGAAAUCCUGGAGCUCAACUCCAGAACUGCCUUUGAUACUGGAAAGCUUGAGUUCGGGAGAGGUGAGUGGAACUGCGAGUGUAGAGGUGAAAUUCGUAGAUAUUCGGAAGAACACCAGUGGCGAAGGCGACUUACUGGACACAUACUGACGCUGAGGUGCGAAAGCGUGGGGAGCAAACAGG
rnacentral:rRNA from 1 species